AAAGUGCAGGUAUUGCUUAGUACGGCGAGUGAAGCGGCAAAAGCUCCAAAUUUGAAAUCUGGCACCUUCGGUGUCCGAGUUGUAAUUUGAAGAAGGUAACUUUGGAGUUGGCUCUUGUCUAUGUUCCUUGGAACAGGACGUCACAGAGGGUGAGAAUCCCGUGCGAUGAGAUGCCCAAUUCUAUGUAAAGUGCUUUCGAAGAGUCGAGUUGUUUGGGAAUGCAGCUCUAAGUGGGUGGUAAAUUCCAUCUAAAGCUAAAUAUUGGCGAGAGACCGAUAGCGAACAAGUACAGUGAUGGAAAGAUGAAAAGAACUUUGAAAAGAGAGUGAAAAAGUACGUGAAAUUGUUGAAAGGGAAGGGCUUGAGAUCAGACUUGGUAUUUUGCGAUCCUUUCCUUCUUGGUUGGGUUCCUCGCAGCUUACUGGGCCAGCAUCGGUUUGGAUGGUAGGAUAAUGACUAAGGAAUGUGGCUCUACUUCGGUGGAGUGUUAUAGCCUUGGUUGAUACUGCCUGUCUAGACCGAGGACUGCGUCUUUUGACUAGGAUGUUGGCAUAAUGAUCUUAAGCCACCCGUCUUGAAAACAGGACCAAAAAAAAAAUGAAACGGCACAACGGAUUUGCUC
rnacentral:rRNA from 1 species